AUGCUCACUUUGGCAGCAUAUAUACUAAAAUUGGAAUAAUACAGAGAGAUUAGCAUGGCCCCUGAGCAAGGAUGACAUAAAUUUAUGAAGCAUUCCAUAUUUUU
rnacentral:snRNA from 1 species